rnacentral:rRNA from 1 species
UACGUAGGGUGCGAGCGUUGUUCGGAAUUACUGGGCGUAAAGGGCGCGUAGGCGGCCCUCUAAGUCGAACGUGAAAUCCCCGGGCUCAACCCGGGAACUGCGUCCGAUACUGGAGGGCUCGAAUCCGGGAGAGGGAUGUGGAAUUCCAGGUGUAGCGGUGAAAUGCGUAGAUAUCUGGAGGAACACCGGUGGCGAAGGCGGCAUCCUGGACCGGUAUUGACGCUGAGGCGCGAAAGCCAGGGGAGCAAACGGG